rnacentral:rRNA from 1 species
AGUGAACGCUGGCGGUAGGCCUAACACAUGCAAGUCGAACGGCAGCACAGUAAGAGCUUGCUCUUACGGGUGGCGAGUGGCGGACGGGUGAGGAAUACAUCGGCAUCUACUUUUUCGUGGGGGAUAACGUAGGGAAACUUACACUACUACCGCAUACGACCUACGGGUGAAAGCAGGGGAGCUUCGGACCUUGCGCGAUUGAAUGAGCCGAUGUCGGAUUAGCUAGUUGGCGGGGUAAAGGCCCACCAAGGCGACGAUCCGUAGCUGAUCUGAGAGGAUGAUCAGCCACACUGGAACUGAGACACGGUCCAGACUCCUACGGGAGGCAGCAGUGGGGAAUAUUGGACAAUGGGCGAAAGCCUGAUCCAGCAAUACCGCGUGGGUGAAGAAGGUCUUCGGGUUGUAAAGCCCUUUUGUUGGGAAAGAAAAGAAGCAGGUUAAUACCCCGCUGUUCUGACGGUACCCAAAGAAUAAGCACCGGCUAACUUCGUG